CUGCAGAAAAACGCUUCCCCGUUUUCCAGUUGUGUUGUGCACGGGAGAGCACAGAAUGCAGUUCACGCAUUCACUAUUUCCUUCGUAAAUGUACAUUUUGUAACGAAACUAUCUCCUCGCUUUCCUUUCUCAACCUGUGCUACUGUUUGUGUGCUCUGUCUCUGCUGGUGACUUCUAAUCAGUUCUACCAUCGUUCGUUUGUUUCGGUUAAAUCUACGCCAGCCAGCAAGGUUACCGCAGCAGCAGCAGCAGCAGGCAGCCUCUUGAAUGGAGCAGCGAUGAGUGGUGCGAUGGGCGAAUGAAAAGUUGCCGCAAAUAACUUCCGGAGACCGGAACGUGCAAAGUCAAAGUGUUAAUGAGAAAUCUUCCAUAUCACAUUCGUGCUUGUGUGUGUGUGUUUAGUACAUAAGUGAAAAGCGCCACGGCAAAAAGGUGAGCAUCGAAGCGCAAAUAAUUCAACCCAGACGACGGCGACGACGACGACGAUCGGUAUGCAAGGACACCGGGCAGCGACGCUUUCCAAUCGGCAUCGAAGUUGUAGCGAAGCAGGCGAGGACGAUUAAACGCGCGUCCCAGGAUACGAGACAGAGAGGGAGAGCGAAAGAGAGAGAGAGAGAGGGGAAGCGAGAGGCACGAUAGCAACAGCAUCGUUUGAUUGCCAUGGAAAAGUGACACACAAAAAAAUACACACAUAAUACAACACCCACGGCGUGGCAUGGAAGGAAUCCCAAAUGAAUGGGAUGGAAUUGGGAAUCAAAAGGACGAAAAGCGGCAGGCUGUGGAAAACGAUUUGCUCUCCGGCUUAUGGGGCAGAUGGGAGAGGGGACCACCCAUCCAAGAAAAGGCCGACAGGCAAUCGGUCAUAUUGGUCGCGGAGAGGACCCAAACGCGGGAUGUAUUCAAAAAAUGCAUUAUUUGAUUAAGCACAUCCGGUUCGGCAGACCGUUGGCGACCUAAACCAGUCAGGGCGGGGAGGACGGGAACGGGAAAGAGA